rnacentral:lncRNA from 1 species
AUCAGCAGGUGUUGACGUCCUUGUUCAAUAUACAAUAUGUCACAAGAACGAAGCACGUUAAUGCAGAUAUUUCAACUACUAAAAGAUCAUUUUGAAGACUACACCAACAUUUCGGAUACGCAAACUGACAAAUUUAUACAACGCAGGAAAAAAGGUGUGCGGGAAUCAAGAAAUUUGAAAUGUAACAGUUGUCCAUCUUGUUCAAAGUUUAUUCAAUUCAUUGACCGUGCAACUUCACCAAUUAUUUCUGAAAAUGGAAAGGAAGAAAUAGUUUUACAAAAAUCAUGUAAUGAUGAAGGAAGAACAGAAAACGUUCCAGUGUUGUCGGAAUUCCAUCCAAAAAUUGAAAAACCAAAAAUUGAAAAAGACGAUGCCUUGAUGUUGUCAUUCAUUCGGGAAAGUGCUGAGAUGAAAAUCAAAAUGCAAGAG